rnacentral:misc_RNA from 1 species
AGCAGCCGCGGUAAUUCCAGCUCCAAUAGCGUAUAUUAAAGUUGUUGCAGUUAAAAAGCUCGUAGUUGAAUUUCGGGAUCAAUAUGUUGGUCGUGCCUCGGUACGUACUAGCAUAUUGGUUUCUCCUUUCUGAAGAACCAUGAUGUCAUUUAUUUGGUGUCGUGGGGAAUCAGGACUGUUACUUUGAAAAAAUUAGAGUGUUUAAAGCAGGCUCACGCUUGAAUACAUUAGCAUGGAAUAAUGAAAUAGGACGUUUGAUUCUAUUUUGUUGGUUUCUAGGAUCGACGUAAUGAUUAAUAGGGAUAGUUGGGGGCAUUAGUAUUCAAUUGUCAGAGGUGAAAUUCUUGGAUUUAUUGAAGACUAACUACUGCGAAAGCAUUUGCCAAGGAUGUUUUCAUUAAUCAAGAACGAAAGUUAGGGGAUCGAAGACGAUCAGAUACCGUCGUAGUCUUAACCAUAAACUAUGCCGACUAGGGAUCGGAUGAUGUUAAUUUUUUUAA